AUCUCAUGAUGAGGACAGGCGGCCACGUACUCCUGCAGACGUUCCCAUGCCUCUGGAAUGGACUCAUCACGUGUCUGCUGGAAGCUCGAAAUUCUCCCACGAAGGC
rnacentral:snoRNA from 1 species